AUUUAUAUAGUUUAACAAAAACAUUAUAUUUUCAUUAUAAAAAUAAAGUAAUUACUUUUAUAAAUU
rnacentral:tRNA from 1 species